UGAUGCGGUCAUACCAGGGCUACUACACCAGAUCCCAUCAGAACUUUGCAGUUAAGCGCCCUUGGGCCGGAAUAGUACUACCCUUGGGCCGGAAUAGUACUAGGAUGGGUGACCUCCCGGGAAGUCCCGGUGAUGCAUCCAA